rnacentral:rRNA from 1 species
CCCUACGGGGCGCAGCAGGCGCGAAAACUUUACAAUGCGGGAAACCGUGAUAAGGGAACUCCGAGUGCCCGUAAAAUCGGGCUGUCCAUCUGUUUAAAUAACAGGUGAAGAAAGGGCCGGGCAAGACCGGUGCCAGCCGCCGCGGUGAUACCGGCGGCUCGAGUGGUGGCCACUAUUACUGGGCUUAAAGGGUCCGUAGCCGGACCAGUUAGUCCCUUGGGAAAUCUACCGGCUUAACCGAUAGGCGUCCAAGGGAUACUGGCAAUCUAGGGACCGGGAGAGGUGGGGGGUACUUCAGGGGUAGGAGUGAAAUCCUGUAAUCC